rnacentral:rRNA from 1 species
UAAGCGGAGGAAAAGAAACUAACAAGGAUUCCCCUAGUACUGCGAGUGANGCGGGAAAAGCUCAAAUUUGGAAUCUGGUGGUCUUUGNCCAUCCGAGUUGUAAUUUAGAGAAGCGUCUUCCGCGCUGGACCGUGCACAAGUCUCCUGGAAUGGAGCGUCAUAGAGGGUGAGAAUCCCGUCUUUGGCAUGGAAUCCCAGGGCUUCUGCGAUGCGCUCUCGACGAGUCGAGUUGUUUGGGAAUGCAGCUCACAAUGGGUGGUGAACUCCAUCUAAAGCUAAAUAUUGGCGAGAGACCGAUAGCGAACAAGUACCGUGAGGGAAAGAUGAAAAGCACUUUGGAAAGAGAGUGAAACAGUACGUGAAAUUGUUGAAAGGGAAACGCUUGAAGUCAGUCGCGUCGACCGAGACUCAGCCUUGCCUCGGCUUGGUGUACUUCUCGGCUUGACGGGUCAGCAUCGAUUUCAAUCCUCGGAUAAUGGCAAGGGAAAGGUAGCACCUUUUUAGGUGUGUUAUAGUCCCCUGUCGCAUGCGAGGGUCGGGAUCGAGGAACUCAGCACGCACCUCAGGGUGUCGGGGCCUUGGCCCACGUUUACGUGCUUAGGAUGCUGGCGUAAUGGCUUUAAACGACC